rnacentral:rRNA from 1 species
UACGUAGGGCGCAAGCGUGUCCGGAAUUAUUGGGCGUAAGAGCUCGUAGGCGGUCUGUUACGUCCGCUGUGAAAACCCAGGGCUUAACCCUGGGCUUGCAGUGGAUACGGGUAGACUAGAGGCAGGUAGGGGAGAAUGGAAUUCCCGGUGUAGCGGUGAAAUGCGCAGAUAUCGGGAAGAACACCUAUGGCGAAGGCAGCUCUCUGGGACGGUACUGACGCUGAGACGCGAAAGCGUGGGGAGCGAACAGG